GCCCACUAUCGCCUCGGCCACCAACCCACUCCCUUCCCCUUUCUCCGUCGCGGCCCCGCUCCCCGCCGCCGCCUUGGCCCGCGCCCAUUGCCACCACCUCCACCUGCGCGCCUCCGCGGCCAACAUCUCUUCUCACUGCCGCGACCAGGCACCACCACCACCUCCCACUGCCGCGGCCGCACGCCACCACUGCCGAAUUGGUCAACGCCUCCAUUAGGCCACCUUCCCGUCCCCAAGCACCGCCAUGAAGUAGCCCCCACCCCCAACAGUCGAUACACUCAAGGGCCGCCACCUCUUCCUUCUUCCCCGGCGAGGGACGGAGCUCAGCGCUCCAGGAGGAUGUCUUCCUCCCCGGUGGUGAACCCGGCGAGAGACGGACCUCAUUGUGAUGGGAUCUGGAUUUGGGGUCGUCUGCGUCGUCGCCGAUGUAUCCGGUGGCCACCAUGCACCGCGGUCGCAGGCCGCCUUGCGCCUGCACCCAGAUGGCUCCGCGCCUCCUCUCCCUGCCCAAGCUCGUCCUUCCGCGACUCCCCUUGUGGAGACUUUUUUUGACCCAAUCGCUGGUCCGGCGAGUCCCAACUGGCAGCCUGACUCCGACGAGCCUGUCUACUGCGCGGGCAGAGGUGGUAGCAGGGUCUGGUGGAGGCGACGUGGUUGAGGGACUCAGUGUCGUACGGUCAGCGCGGGCAGAGGCGGCAUGAUCGAGGGACUCGGCGUCGUACACACAGUGCAGGCAGGGCCGGUAGCAGGGUCUGGCGGAGGCAACAACCAAGAAGUGGAUGCAGUGAUUAAAGGUAGACAUAGUGUACCUUUCCUCUCCAUCGAUAGGAAGAAGGAGCAAGAUCCACCUUCAGCAAGAAGACGGUGACGUCGACCACCACCUUACAUACUGCUCGACGGCUAGGAUGAGGGUGUCGAGCCCCAUGUCGUCCUACUCCUCGCCAGAUCCGGACACUCACGUGCAAUUGUCAGUGAGCCUUUGUUUCUUAGUUUCCCCUGUGCAAAACUCAAUCACCGAUUCAGCACGGGCUAUGAACUUGCCUGGCAGAGGGGCACGAGUUGCUUGGAGGGCCUGCAGUCCGGCAGGAUAUUGUGGAAAGGCCGUUGCGCGAUGAUGGGGAUAUGGAGAGGGUGCUGGAGAAGAAGGCCGAGCUGAUUGGGUAGUAUGAGGACGAGAAGAAGGCUCAGGCGGACUGGGAAAGGCAAUCCAACGGCAACCAGAGUUGACGAACCAAGGUUGCCUCAGCAUGACGGGGGUGCACCACAUGCACCUGAAGAUGCAGUGUAGGCACGUGCAUCACAUGAUCUAGAGAUCGUGCCAUCGAGGGGUUCCAAACGUAUGCGGCAAAAGCACAUUAUAACCCGGGGGAAGCGCCCUACUGACAUUGAUAGCAAUGAGGAGUUGCCAGAGGAAGACGACAACACAAUUGAACUUUCUGAGCACGAUCAUUCAAAGCCAAAGAGAGCAAGACAGAUGAAAACGAGGGCGGAGGAAGGAAGAACUCACCUCUUCAGGGCCCAGUGCCUUCGCUGUAGAGGAGGUGCACGGAACUUUGGGGUGGGGGCGGAGCGUGACGAUGCUGCUGCCGCUAGUUUUAGGUUUUCAGAAACCUUCAAGAUGCAGAUCCAUGGAGGUCUUUUGCAGCAGAUUACCAGUUGGAGAAAAGGGAAGUGCAUGAAGGAGGGGAAAGGCAGGCUAGACACGGUUCUUGUGUGAUAAGCACGCUGUAGUCGGGGAGAUGGGCAGGUGUGGAGGAGCGGUUACGAACACAGGAGAUGCGGAAGGGUAGGACUGGGCCUUCCUUUUCUAUUCCGCCAGCUGUUCAGGGGUUUCCCCACUUUCCUUUUUUGGGUGUGUGCCCCAGACAUCCAACGAGCCAAUGGGUGCUCCCUAGCCAUGUCCAAGAAAAAAAAGCGUAACAACUGUCACGUGCCUAUCACACAACAUCUGUAGGAACACGGAAUAGGUCACGAUGACCAGCGUGCCAUCUUUUUUCAGAAGAAGUUGCAUCAUCGACCUACAGAUUGAUUAACUUUUGGUUGCAA